GCCUUCGUGGUGUAGCGGUCAGCACACUCGUCGGGUAUUCGAGAGGUCGGUAGUUCGAGUCCCGGCGAGGGCA
rnacentral:tRNA from 1 species